UGCUAUGAAACUUAACUUUUGAAAGUGCAUAGAACAAAGCAAAGAGAAACAGAGCAGCAAUACAAUCAUGCAAGCGUAUGAAAAGAGAAAUGACCUGUAGCUUUGAGGCCAUGAAGUGUCGUGGGACUUAGGGUUGUUCUGCUGCUGAAGAAGCAUUAGAUACAUUUCCAUCAUCUUCUCGUUUAUGUCUGUUAAACACUUUCCUCAGCUUCCUCAUCUUCACUCUCAAAGUAGAACCUCUGAGCCAAAACUGAUUCUUCAUUCUCUACCAGCCUC
rnacentral:lncRNA from 1 species